CCUUUCAAAAUUUCUUGGAUUACGGUGGAUCAUGCAAAGACUCAGUGAAAGUUAUCUGGAAGAGCCUGCUUUAAUCCUGGUUAUCGUGAGAACGAAGAAACAAAAUUUUCGUCAAUCAAUGACAAUUUCAGAUUAUCUUGACUCCGUAAAUUGAUAUGAGAAAAGAAAAUCAUAUGCCUAUUCUAAUGAUAUUUAUUUUACUUUCCCUUUUAAUAAAAUAGCUGUGGGGCUUAUUAUUUAUUUUAUC
rnacentral:lncRNA from 1 species